rnacentral:lncRNA from 10 species
CCAUUAGCUCUGGUCUGCAGGAGGAUGAACAUGAAAAAAAAGGUUAAUAUUCAUCUGUAGCCUGAGUGACCCCAAAAAGAUGACACUCUUCUGUCCACCAAAACCUUCCAGAGGCUUCCUGUGCUCACUUGAAGUAAAAUCCAAAGUGCUGACUGUGGUUACCAGCUCCCCGGGCUGGCCUGCUGCGGGACGGCUUCUCCACCAGCCUCCCGUUCAAGGCCUCCAUUUCUGCCACUGCGGCGUCUGCAUGGUUCCUGAGCAUCCCAAGCACAUUCCCACCUCAAGGCCUUGGUGCUUGCAGUUCAUCUGCUUCUCUCCUGGUCUAUGCCUGGCUGGUUCUUAUUUCUUUUGAAUUCGGACGAGGUGCACCUCAUGAGAGAGGCCUUCCUUGACCUCCCUCCUCCAUUCCUCUCACAGGCCCCAUCUGACAUGCUUGCCCUCCCCCUCCCCUACCCCCAUCCCCUUGUGAGCCCCAUGAGAGAAGGGCCUCUGUCCUUAGGUAGAUGUGAUUCCCC